rnacentral:rRNA from 1 species
UACAGAGGUCCCAAGCGUUGUUCGGAUUCACUGGGCGUAAAGGGCUCGUAGGCGGUUUGUCGCGUCGGGAGUGAAAUCCACUGGCUUAACUGGUGGCUUGCUUUCGAUACGGGCAGACUGGAGGUAUGCAGGGGAGAACGGAAUUCCUGGUGUAGCGGUGAAAUGCGCAGAUAUCAGGAGGAACACCAAUAGCGAAGGCAGCUCGCUGGGACGGUACUGACGCUAAGGCGCGAAAGCGUGGGGAGCGAACAGG